AGAGAGAUGGUACACAAGUUGGUC
rnacentral:miRNA from 1 species